AUGCCAGCGAAAAAAUGUUGUGAUGACACCGUCGUUGACGAAAUAGAAGAUGAUGCCGCUAAGAAACCAGCAAUUGGAGAUGAUAGGAAGAGAUACAUGGUUUUAGUAAAUUUGGGCAACAGCAGAGCAACCGGUUUAUUGUGCAACUCGAGGUUUAAUGACAGUGGCGAUGCACCUCUUGGAAACAUGGAGGAUUGGAGAAAACAAAGUGGACCUGGUUUUGAUGUCAUGAAAAUGUCUUGCAAAGGCUUUGGAUUUGAAGCUUGA